UGGGACACCCGCUCCUGCGCGUGGGUGUAAAACCACGGAUCGCGAGCGCGGGAGAAGCGCUGGAUGCGUCCGCCAGGGCCGGUGAUGGCAUCCGUCAGCCGGCCGGAGACAACCACGCCCAUCUCGGCGCUGAAAAGGAUGGCGUCGACAUAAUCAACCUCGCCCGGCGGGCGGGCGGCCUGGGACCGCACCGUUUCAACCGCCUCGUGCACACUGGACACGGGCCGGUAGGAAACCUCGACGAAGGCCCGCGCCUCGAUGAGACGCAGCUCGAGCAGCGUGGUGAUGCCCAGCGAGCCCAUCGAGCCCGCGAGACCAUGGAAGAGGUCCUCUGCCAUCCCAUCCCCGUCCGCAGCACC
rnacentral:sRNA from 2 species